rnacentral:rRNA from 1 species
AACGUAGGAGACAACCGUUAUCCGGAGUUACUGGGCGUAAAGGGCGUGUAGGUGGUUUCGUAAGUCUGGCGUGAAAUUUCUCGGCUUAACCGAGGCAGGUCGUCGGAUACUGCGGAACUUGAGGACGGUAGAGGCGUGUGGAAUUCCGGGUGUAGUGGUGAAAUGCGUAGAGAUCCGGAGGAACACCAGUGGCGAAGGCGACACGCUGGGCCGUACCUGACACUGAUGCGCGACAGCAUGGGGAGCAAACAGG